GCUGCUGCCUGGACAUUUACUCCAGCCAGAUUCUGUUUAUUUUUCCGUGAUGGAUUGGAAAUCCCAUUUCCCAUUGAUUUUGUCAGUUUGAGGGACACCACCUGCACGAAAAUGUGGGAACUGAAUCCCUCACACCUGCCCCAGUCCCACCAAGGCAGCACCACUGCAUUUUUGCAGGUCCUUCUUCCAUCUGUGCCUCAGCCGAAUGCAGAACUCAGGAAUGUCUUUCCAGCCCAUCACAUUUCCCAGUGAAAAAUGUGAGAACUGCCCCUGAUGCUCGUGGGAAGCCAUCAGGAUGUAAAACACCUGAAAAUGAAAUAUUAACUUUGCCACCCAAGCCAGCAAUGGCUGUUAUGUUUGGUAUUAUAACACAUUAAGGUGAAGUUCCUGCCUAAGAAAGAAAUAA